AUACUUACCUGGCAGGGGAGAUACCAUGAUCACGAAGGUGGUUUUCCCAGGGCGAGGCUUAUCCAUUGCACUCCGGAUGUGCUGACCCCUGCGAUUUCCCCAAAUGUGGGAAACUCGACUGCAUAAUUUGUGGAAAAA
rnacentral:snRNA from 1 species